rnacentral:rRNA from 1 species
UAGUAAUCGUGGAUCAGCAUGCCACGGUGAAUACGUUCCCGGGUCUUGUACACACCGCCCGUCACACCAUGGGAGCUGGUAACACCCGAAGUCAGUAGUCUAACCGCAAGGAGGACGCUGCCGAAGGCGGGAUUAGCGACUGGGGUGAAGUCGUAACAAGGUACC